rnacentral:rRNA from 1 species
UCGCUUCACGGCUUCCCUACGGCACCARUCACGGUCGCACCGUGACUGACACCUAGCGAGCAUCGUUUACGGCUAGGACUACCCGGGUAUCUAAUCCGGUUCGUGCCCCUAGCUUUCGUCCCUUACCGUCGGACCCGUUCUGGUGAGACGCCUUCGCCACUGGUGGUCCCCCGAGGAUCACAAGAUUUCACCCCUACCCCCAAGGUACCUCUCACCUCUCCCGGUCCCAAGCCAAACAGUAUCCCCUAGCAGCCUGACAGUUGAGCUGCCAGAUUUCCCAAGGGACUUACUUGGCCGGCUACAGACCCUUUAGACCCAAUAAUAACGGUUACCACUCGGGCCGCCGGUGUUACCGCGGCGGCUGGCACCGGUCUUGCCCGGCCCUUGCUAACAGAUGCUUUUUAGGCAUCUGGACAGCCAACAUUAUAUGCUGGCACUCGAGAUUCCCUUAUCACGGUUUCCCGAUUGUAAAGUUUU